CUAGACCAAAUGCCCUGUUUUUAUUAUGUUGUUCAGCUCAUUCUUUAUAAAUCUGGCUGCUCAGAAAACAUGAUGGUUCUUUAUAAUAGAAGGAUACUGGUUUCAAUGAUAUAUUGGUUGGACGUGAAAGAGCGCUCAAUCUUUGGCAGGUUACAAAAUGUGUCUGUCAUGACUGUAUGAAUUUUACUGGCUAAAAAGACAUAGAUUGGACGUAAAACCGCGGAAAGUUUACUUUUGAGGGUCCUGUUCUUGAAGAAGCUGCCAACAUGCAUUGAAGCUGCAGCAGGGAUGUGUUUUCUAGUUGAAGACUAGUUCCUUUACUACUCUCGAGAUUUAUUACAAGAAUACCAGUAGCUGAAGUCGUAGACCGAAAGGCCAGACUACGUGCCCAACUCGUUGAUUUCUUUCUGUUAAAAAUGCGACGUGAUCGCUCCAUUGGGCAACAUGGAAGGAAAGGUAUGUUACAUUUCUGAAACAUGUGAUUUGAUCAUACCAAAGUUACUACCUAUUUUUGUUAAACGUCCUACAGAAUACUCAAAUAGAAGUCUAUUGAAUAUUUAGUUCCUGUUGCCUAACUUUGAUAUUGAAAUGGAUUUACUCUACAAGUUCGGCUUUACUAGUAUUUAUUUAUAUCUAGUACUAUUAGUUGACUUUGUGGGCUUAUAGUAAAUUGUCUGUAAACUAAGAUAUUUGUUGAAAUAUAACACGAAACCACAAUCUUGAAUUGCUGCAUGUUUAUUUUAUCUUUUAUAGAUCAGGAUGAAGGAAAAUAUUGUCAGCUGAAAUUUAGCCAAUAAGAUAUAUAAGAAAAUAUUGAAAUAACAUUUAUAAGAUUCUCUAAAGGAAAUAGAAUAUUACGUGGGCGUGAUGAUGAUAAUCGCGAGACAUUAAAACUAGAAAUACGUAAACACCAAAAACCCUAGAACGAAAGAUGAUUCGUAUGUGACGUACUCGGGAAGGAUCCUUAAAAGCGUGAAUUAGGUUUUUACAUAUUAAAUUGAGGCUACUUUCUGUGUAUGAUGAUUUUUUAGUAUUUUUUCUUGUAU